CCUACGGGUGGCAGCAGUGGGGAAUAUUGCACAAUGGGCGCAAGCCUGAUGCAGUCAUGCCGCGUGUGUGAAGAAGGCCUUCGGGUUGUAAAGCACUUUCAGCGGGGAGGAAGGCGUUAAGGUUAAUAACCUUGUCGAUUGACGUUACCCGCAGAAGAAGCACCGGCUAACUCCGUGCCAGCAGCCGCGGUAAUACGGAGGGUGCAAGCGUUAAUCGGAAUUACUGGGCGUAAAGCGCACGCAGGCGGUCUGUCAAGUCGGAUGUGAAAUCCCCGGGCUCAACCUGGAACUGCAUUCGAAACUGGCAGGCUAGAGUCUUGUAGAGGGGGGUAGAAUUCCAGGUGUAGCGGUGAAAUGCGUAGAGAUCUGGAGGAAUACCGGUGGCGAAGGCGGCCCCCUGGACAAAGACUGACGCUCAGGUGCGAAAGCGUGGGGAGCAAACAGGAUUAGAUACCCGUGUAGUC
rnacentral:rRNA from 1 species